rnacentral:rRNA from 1 species
UACGAAGGGGGCUAGCGUUGUUCGGAAUCACUGGGCGUAAAGCGCACGUAGGCGGAUUUUUAAGUCAGGGGUGAAAUCCCGGGGCUCAACCUCGGAACUGCCUUUGAUACUGGAGAUCUUGAGUCCGGAAGAGGUAAGUGGAACUGCGAGUGUAGAGGUGAAAUUCGUAGAUAUUCGCAAGAACACCAGUGGCGAAGGCGGCUUACUGGUCCGGAACUGACGCUGAGGUGCGAAAAGCGUGGGGGAG